UUACGACCACAUCACGUUGAAACACCGUUUCCGGUAAGAUCAGCGAAGUUAAUCAACAACGAGCCUGGCCAGUACCAAGAUGGGUGACCACUUCGGAAUACCAAAUGCUGUAAG